AGUUUGAUUCUUGAAGCUGCAGCCCUCACACCAUUUACCUCAGUAGAAGUCAUGGCUUCAAGAUCCUCCCCAUCUUAAACUAAGAAGAGAAAACAUAGAGAAUCUUCAUAGAGUUGGAAGGAUUAUGUGAAUGAAUAUAAGGCAAAGCACUCAAAACAGCA